rnacentral:rRNA from 1 species
AUGAACGCUGGCGGCGUGCCUAAUACAUGCAAGUCGAGCGAACGGACGAGAAGCUUGCUUCUCUGAUGUUAGCGGCGGACGGGUGAGUAACACGUGGAUAACCUACCUAUAAGCCUGGGAUAACUUCGGGAAACCGGAGCUAAUACCGGAUAAUAUUUUGAACCGCAUGGUUCAAAAGUGAAAGACGGUCUUGCUGUCACUUAUAGAUGGAUCCGCGCUGCAUUAGCUAGUUGGUAAGGUAACGGCUUACCAAGGCAACGAUGCAUAGCCGACCUGAGAGGGUGAUCGGCCACACUGGAACUGAGACACGGUCCAGACUCCUACGGGGGGCAGCAGUAGGGAAUCUUCCGCAAUGGGCGAAAGCCUGACGGAGCAACGCCGCGUGAGUGAUGAAGGUCUUCGGAUCGUAAAACUCUGUUAUUAGGGAAGAACAUAUGUGUAAGUAACUGUGCACAUCUUGACGGUACCUAAUCAGAAAGCCACGGCUAACUACGUG